AGGCUCCAGAUGCCUGCUGGAAGCCGCCGCGGCGCAACGGGGAUGUGCGAAACCGGACCGCUGCGACCAGACAGCGGCUGGGAACAACCGCAGCAGGAGCCGGAGAGGAGGGGGGCCGAGUCAGGCGAUCAGCCGAUGUGUCUCUGAGCUCUGCAGAUAGGAAUCAAUCACAGGCCGAGGAAAUCCCCUGGACACCGGCCACGUCCUGCCCUCUCUCCCCCUCUCACUCAGCUCGCCUUAAAUCAAAUGAACAUGGCUUGGCAGCGGCGGAUGGGAUCGUUCUGUAGUUGUCAUCACAACUGUAACUAUGGUCACACCAGGACAGUAACAUCCCCAGUCUCUGCAGGAAAAGAACGAUUCUGAAGCAUGAAAGGAACAUUUUUCUGCGAUAAGUGGCUGCAGUCUUUUUUGUGAAUCAAAGAGGAAGCAGAGACAAGAGUUUAUUGUUCCCAGAUAGCUAUGAGGACAGUUACCUGUUUUUACUUUUACUGAUAAAACAAGACAAUCCUUUAUUAAUGUUCUUUUUAAAAAAAUUACAUUUUUGACGAUUGAUAAUUGGAACUCUUUUCAUCAGGUUUAGGUCCCAGUUUUUCAAAUUUGGUCAAAAUCUUUGAUUCCCAACUGGUCCCUUCCCCUUAAAGCAAACCAGUGUCUAUAAGUGACCUACCAUAUUCACUUGCACAUGUGACACGUUUUUUCUUGUUAUAUUUGAAUCAUUUUGAUGCAGAAAAUUAUUAGAAUGUCUGAAAGAAUUAACACAAUUUUGUCCAGUAGAAAUUAGUUUUUUCUUCUUAUAUAUACAUCCUGUUAAUCCAGACUCCACUUGUGAUUCUUUAUGGGGGUCCAAACCAAUUCCCCUUUAAAUAAACUCUCCCCUGAAGCAGCGUGUGCAGCCUAUUUUUCUUUUUAUAAUGUCUAACAUACAGUAUAUCUUUUCCUGUGUGAAUAUCAUAACUAAUAAAAAUAUUUAUAUUA